GAUGAACGCUAGCGGCAGGCUUAACACAUGCAAGUCGAGGGGCAGCGUAAUGAAGUAGCAAUACUGAUUUGACGGCGACCGGCGCACGGGUGCGUAACGCGUAUGUAACCUACCUUUUAACAGGGGGGAUAACACUGAGAAAUUGGUACUAAUACCCCAUAAUACUUUAGAGGGCAUCCUCUGAGGUUGAAAGUUCCGGCGGUUAAAGAUGGACAUGCGUUGUAUUAGCUAGAUGGUGAGGUAACGGCUCACCAUGGCGACGAUACAUAGGGGGACUGAGAGGUUAACCCCCCACACUGGUACUGAGACACGGACCAGACUCCUACGGGAGGCAGCAGUGAGGAAUAUUGGUCAAUGGACACAAGUCUGAACCAGCCAUGCCGCGUGCAGGAUGACGGCUCUAUGAGUUGU
rnacentral:rRNA from 1 species